rnacentral:rRNA from 1 species
GACGAACGCUGGCGGCGUGCUUAACACAUGCAAGUCGAACGGAAAGGCCCUGCUUUUGUGGGGUGCUCGAGUGGCGAACGGGUGAGUAACACGUGAGUAACCUGCCCUUGACUUUGGGAUAACUUCAGGAAACUGGGGCUAAUACCGGAUAGGAGCUCCUGCUGCAUGGUGGGGGUUGGAAAGUUUCGGCGGUUGGGGAUGGACUCGCGGCUUAUCAGCUUGUUGGUGGGGUAGUGGCUUACCAAGGCUUUGACGGGUAGCCGGCCUGAGAGGGUGACCGGCCACAUUGGGACUGAGAGACGGCCCAGACUCCUACGGGAGGCAGCAGUGGGGAAUAUUGCACAAUGGGCGGAAGCCUGAUGCAGCAACGCCGCGUGCGGGAAGACGGCCUUCGGGUUGUAAACCGCUUUCGCCGGUGACGAAGCGUGAGUGACGGUAAUGGGUAAAGAAGCACCGGCUAACUACGUG